GACGAACGCUGGCGGCGUGCCUAAUACAUGCAAGUAGAACGCACAGUUUAUACCGUAGCUUGCUACACCAUAGACUGUGAGUUGCGAACGGGUGAGUAACGCGUAGGUAACCUGCCUGGUAGCGGGGGAUAACUAUUGGAAACGAUAGCUAAUACCGCAUGAUAUUAAUUAUUGCAUGAUAAUUAAUUGAAAGGUGCAAUUGCACCACUACCAGAUGGACCUGCGUUGUAUUAGCUAGUAGGUGAGGUAACGGCUCACCUAGGCGACGAUACAUAGCCGACCUGGGAGGGUGAUCCGCCACACUGGGACUGAGACACGGCCCAGACCCCUACGGGAGGCAGCAGUAGGGAAUCUUCGGCAAUGGACGAAAGUCUGACCGAGCAACGCCGCGUGAGUGAAGAAGGUUUUCGGAUCGUAAAGCUCUGUUGUAAGAGAAGAACGGGUGUGAGAGUGGAAAGUUCACACUGUGACGGUAUCUUACCAGAAAGGGACGGCUAACUACGUG
rnacentral:rRNA from 1 species